CAAGUGGGAGUUUGUGGCUGGUUGAUCGUUUUGUUUUACUCCAAGAUGAAGUAAAAAUUAUAACCAAAUAUAAGCACUAGCAUAUUUUCUUACUUUUGCACAUCAAUCAUAUAAAUGCAUGUAAGAAGUAAGCAAGAAAGAAAGCAGAGAAUCAAAGAAACAGGUACUUUUGCACAUCGAUCAUAUAAAUGCAUGUAAGAAGUAAGCAAGAAAGAAAGCAGAGAAUCAAAGAAACAGGUACUUUUGCACAUCAAUCAUAUAAAUGCAUGUAAGAAGUAAGCAAGAAAUAAAGCAGAGAAUCAAAGAAACAGGUACUUUUGCACAUCAAUCAUAUAAAUGCAUGUAAGAAGUAAGCAAGAAAGAAAGCAGAGAAUCAAAGAAACAGGGAAGUAACUCUGAAUGGCUACAAGUAACC
rnacentral:lncRNA from 1 species